rnacentral:rRNA from 1 species
GCCGCGUGAGCGAUGAAGCCCUUCGGGGUGUAAAGCUCUUUCGGCAGGGACGAUAAUGACGGUACCUGAAGAAGAAGCUGCGGCUAACUACGUGCCAGCAGCCGCGGUAAUACGUAGGCAGCAAGCGUUGUUCGGAAUUACUGGGCGUAAAGAGUGUGUAGGCGGUGCUCUAAGUUCGGUGUGAAAUCUCCCGGCUUAACUGGGAGGGUGCGCCGGAAACUGGAGUGCUCGAGUGUGGGAGAGGAAAGCGGAAUUCCUGGUGUAGCGGUGAAAUGCGUAGAUAUCAGGAGGAACACCUGUGGUGUAGACGGCUUUCUGGACCAUUGCUGACGCUGAGACACGAAAGCGUGGGUAGCAAACAGGAUUAGAUACCCUGGUAGUCCACGCCCUAAACGAUGCAUACUUGGUGUCGGCCAUUCAGUUGGUCGGUGCCGGAGCUAACGCGUUAAGUAUGCCGCCUGGGGAGUACGGUCGCAAGGCUGAAACUCAAA